rnacentral:rRNA from 2 species
CACAAUACCGAAGCUACGGGUAGAAAUACGUUAGAGGAGCGUUCUAAGGGCCUUGAAGCUAGACCGUAAGGACUAGUGGAGCGCUUAGAAGUGAGAAUGCCGGUAUGAGUAACGAUUCAAAGUGAGAAUCUUUGACGCCUAUUGGGGAAGGUUUCCUGGGCAAGGUUCGUCCACCCAGGGUUAGUCGGGUCCUAAGACGAGGCCGAAGGGCGUAGCCGAUGGACAACAGGUUAAUAUUCCUGUACUUUCUUGAGAGUGAUGUAGUGACGGGGAAGGAUAGUUUUACCACUCAUUGGAUUGUGGGGUAAGUGAUAACUGGGUGUUGUUGGCAAAUCCGCAACACAUUAACCGGGAGUUACAAUGCAUAGUGAAAGGGCAACCAAGUAGCGAAUUAAAUGAU